CUGCGAAUAUUCUCGCUGUUCUGAUUUUGUAAUAGUCAGGACAGGCUAAACAUUCGCUAUAUUAAGACCAUGCGCGUGUGUCCCCAGACCUAGUUCUUUCACUAGGUUUGGUUUUAUAAAUGCUGGUGAUAAAC
ensembl:snoRNA SNORA72 Small nucleolar RNA SNORA72